rnacentral:misc_RNA from 1 species
CCGAGUUUACAACUCCCAAACCCAAUGUGAACGCUACCAAACUGUUGCCUCGGCGGGGUCGCGCCCCGGGUGCGUAGAAGCCCCGGAACCAGGCGCCCGCCGGAGGAACCAACCAAACUCUUCCUGUGGUCCCCUCGCGGACGUUAUUUCUCACAGCUCUGAGCAAAAAUUCAAAAUGAAUCA